rnacentral:rRNA from 1 species
AGCAGCCGCGGUAAUUCCAGCUCCAAUAGCGUAUAUUAAAGUUGUUGCAGUUAAAAAGCUCGUAGUUGAACUUCGGGGUUUACCCAUUGGUCAGGCUUAAUUGUCUGUACUGGUGAGAUAAAUCUCUACCUUCUGAGGAACUUUCAUGUCAUUAAUUUGGUGUGAUUGGAAAUCAGGACUGUUACUUUGAAAAAUUAGAGUGUUUAAAGCAGGCUAACGUCUGAAUACAUUAGCAUGGAAUAAUGAAAUAGGACGGCUUGAUUCUAUUUCGUUGGUUUCUAGGAUCACCGUAAUGAUUAAUAGGGAUAGUUGGGGGCAUUAGUAUUCAAUUGUCAGAGGUGAAAUUCUUGGAUUUAUUGAAGACUAACUACUGCGAAAGCAUUUGCCAAGGAUGUUUUCAUUAAUCAAGAAUGAAAGUUAGGGGAUCGAAGACGAUCAGAUACCGUCGUAGUCUUAACCAUAAACUAUGCCGACUAGGGAUCGGACGAAGUUAAUUUUAUAAUGACGCGUUCGGCACCUU